UGGUUAUUUAAAAAUGAAUUGUGAUUUGGUUGAUUCUAUUUUUCUAGACAGUGUUGUUUUGAUCAUAUUAUUAUGGUGUGACAACUCUUUUUUAUUUUCUUAGGAAUGACCUUCUUUUAGGCAUAUGAGUAUCCUCUCGCCUAUAACUGGAUCAACAGUCAGUUUUUUGUUGGAGGCUUCAUCUGAUUCAAUGACUAGAAGUUUUUGAAAUAUGGGAACUAGCAAAACGAAAGUAAAUUUAAGAAGAUUACUUGCUGCUGCACCUAAACAGCAGAACCAAGGAAAGCUUGUUCAUGCUUUUGGACCAUAGCAAUAUCUAAUAGAGCAGAAAUGUGCGUCUAUAUAAAGGAAGUUGAAGAGCUAUGGAAGCAGGUCUAUAUUGAGAUGUAUUUCUUUGGCGCAAUACUAGACAACAUUGACAGUUGAAGUUUUUAGAAUAAAAAAUAUAUUUCAACAACAUUGGAUACAUUUCUUGUUUAUUAUUUGGUGAUGAUAAAAUUUGAUUGUAGUAUAAACUAUCAUGUAAUAUGAUUUUGUAAGCCGAGUAGACUAAAUACUGAAGUUAUAUUUUUGA